rnacentral:rRNA from 1 species
UUACCCAGCCAUAUCAGCCUGCAGCCAAAGACCGGUUACUCACUGAAGCUAAGCAGGGCUGAACCUGGUCAGUAUCUGGAUGGGAGACCACAUGGGAAAACUAGGUUGCUGCUGGAA